AACGAACGCUGGCGGCAUCCCUAACACAUGCAAGUCGAACGAGACCUUCGGGUCUAGUGGCGCACGGGUGCGUAACGCGUGGGAAUCUGCCCUUGGGUUCGGAAUAACAGUUGGAAACGACUGCUAAUACCGGAUGAUGACGUAAGUCCAAAGAUUUAUCGCCCAAGGAUGAGCCCGCGUAGGAUUAGCUAGUUGGUGAGGUAAAGGCUCACCAAGGCGACGAUCCUUAGCUGGUCUGAGAGGAUGAUCAGCCACACUGGGACUGAGACACGGCCCAGACUCCUACGGGAGGCAGCAGUGGGGAAUAUUGGACAAUGGGCGAAAGCCUGAUCCAGCAAUGCCGCGUGAGUGAUGAAGGCCUUAGGGUUGUAAAGCUCUUUUACCCGGGAUGAUAAUGACAGUACCGGGAGAAUAAGCUCCGGCUAACUCCGUG
rnacentral:rRNA from 1 species